AGGAUCAUUACCCGGUGGAGCAGGAUUCUCCUGCACCUCCCUCCCUUGUGUAUUGUUACUGUUUGCCGGUCAGCGUUCGCGCUGACUGCGCCAUUCAAACCCCUUUUUAAGAUUGUCUGAUCAAAUCAUAAUGAAUAAAACUUUCAACAACGGAUCUCUUGGCUCCGGCAUCGAUGAAGAACGCAGCGAAAUGCGAUAACUAGUGUGAAUUGCAGAUUUCCGUGAAUCAUCGAGUCUUUGAACGCACAUUGCGCCCCUUGGUUUACCAGGGGGCAUGUCUAUCCGAGCGUCGUUACACCCCUCAAGCCUGGCUUGGUCUUGGGGUAUGUCCUGCCUAGCAGGGCUGCCCUCAAAUGUAACUCGACGUGCCUUUUGUUCGGGAGCGCAGCAGUUUUGCGGCUUUCGCUGGUUCCGUGGAGCCGCCCCUGGCGGACCUCUCUGGUUGACCUCGGAUUAGAUAAGGAUACCCGCUGAACUUAAGCAUAUCAAUAA
rnacentral:sRNA from 1 species